GUCUUUGGUCGAGAUGACACCCGUGCUCAAAAUAUCUUGUGAUGGUAGAAAGGAGCUGUGACAAGUGCAGCUGGAGAGAUUAGCUAGAGUCAAAGAGAGUGAAGUUUGUUGACAGGAGAACUGUGAGAGAUAGAGGCUGAGGGUGGUCUUAAAUACUCUUCUCAGACACAUACAUCAUCAUACUUCCUGUGAUUAAGGGAAUUUCUUUGAGACUGGAAAGUGAAACUUCAAAAACCACAAAAAAAACCCUACUCACUCAUUCCACUCGUCUUUUCCUGUGGCUACUAAUAAUUUAACCAGAUUUAAGAUUUUUUAACUACAUUUUAAUAUCAUGUAUGAGAAUAAGAAUAUAAAGAUAAGUGUAACUUGUUGGAACUGUAAACCUGCAACUUAACAUUGACAUCAAACUUGUACACACUAUUUGUGUAAAUUGCCACGUGACCUAUGCACAAAUGUUUUUAGACAUUUGCACACUUUAUUCAUUUUUGAUAAUAUGAAGAACAAAGAUCCAAAAAAAUGGGUCAUGUAGAAAUUAUUUUAAAAAAAAAAUAUCUAGGGUAAUGAUUGCAUUGUGGUCACCUGUGUUGUUAUUUCCACUUUUUAUGUAUUUGCAAUAUAAAGUUAACACAAAGCUUCUGUCUAAUGAGUACAAUGUUUGUAAGUUACAUUUGUGUCUCCCUGUAGAGUGCAUGUAAGUAGAUGGUGUUCAUACACGUAUCUCAUUUUAAACAAACAAAGCAAUCAGCAAAGACCCAACUGAAUGUGUCUUAGUGACAAUAAAAUUCCAUAAUGUAAAAAAAAAGACAUUAAAUCAUUUUCAUUGUAUCAUGUUGUUAUGUCCCUUCUGUCACAAUCAGGAAAAAAAGCAAAAUAUAAAAAAUGCUGAAUCAUUUGACAUGUCAGUACACGAGAGUGCUAAUCCUCCAUUUCUAAUAGA